rnacentral:rRNA from 1 species
CUGCAGCCCGAAUGGUGAUCGAUUUUAUUGAGCCUAAAGCGUCCGUAGCCGGACUAGUAAACCCUUGGGUAAAUUGGGCAGCUUAACUGUCCAAAUUCCGAGGGGACUGCUAGUCUUGGGACCGGGAGAGGUCAGAGGUACUCAAGGGGUAGGGGCUAAAUCCUGUAAUCCUUUGGGGACCACCAGUGGCGAAGGCGUCUGACUAGAACGGAUCCGACGGUAAGGGACGAAACCCUGGGGCGCGAACCGGAUUAGAUACCCGAGUAGUCC